rnacentral:rRNA from 1 species
ACGCACGCUGGCGGCAUGCCUCACACAUGCAAGUCGCACGAGACCUUCGGGUCUAGUGGCGCACGGGUGCGUAACGCGUGGGAACCUGCCCUUAGGUUCGGAAUAACUCCCCGAAAGGGGUGCUAAUACCGGAUAAUGUCUUCGGACCAAAGAUUUAUCGCCUUUGGAUGGGCCCGCGUUGGAUUAGCUAGUUGGUAGGGUAAAAGCCUACCAAGGCGACGAUCCAUAGCUGGUCUGAGAGGAUGAUCAGCCACACUGGGACUGAGACACGGCCCAGACUCCUCGGGGGGGCAGCGGUGGGGAUUUUUGAAAAAGGGCCGAAAGCCGAACCCAGCAUUGCCGCGGGAGUAAGAAGGCCGUUGGGUUUGUAAACCUUUUUCCCCGGGGAGGAAAAGCACAGCCCGGGGAAAAUACCCCCCGGCUACCCCGGUC